GGUUACACGUGUGUUUUGGAGCCUGCAGACAUACCAAAGGGAGGUGCGCUGCUGCAGUGUCUUACUGGCUGUAUGAUGUGGUGGUCACUGGAAAAAUCUCACUGCUCUACUGUACUUUGGCAUGUGAGGAGACUAAAUUCUCCUGCCUGUUAUGAAGCCACACGUGCUAGUUGUUUCCAAGUGAAUCAAUUGCCCUUUUAAAGCCACAGCUGCGAGACCGCAGUCCAUCUACCACUGGCUGCAGUCCUACCCAGCAUUACUCCCUCCGUGUCGUCCCAUUGACUCUGAGAAGCUCAGUGGACAUUUGGGGCUUUCUGAUUACUUGCCAAGCAAUGGACAUGCUUCCACUCACAUGGCCCUGGAGCCUCUUGCAGCUGGAGCACUUUCCAAAACUAUUCAGCUUGACCUUUGCUUGAGACACACGACAGCUUCCUAGCAAAGAUGAAUCUCAUUUCUGAAGAAAUUGCACUAAGGCCACCGUGGUAUAUUUCCAGAAAUAAUCAAACACAAACAUUCACAGGGGUCAAAAGAUCUGAACACCUGUUUCCUGGGAAGGCGGCGGGUGGCUGUCGGGACCGUCUCAGCUGUUCCAGUGCCCCAGCAAGAUUAGCACCUGGGUAAAGAGCAGCUGAUGGUUGCAGAAAAUAGCAAGACGGAGGCCAAGCCAAAGGGAAGGAGAGAGUUGAAGGCUGCAUCACUUUUCCAGAGGUUUCUACCUGUUAUGCGUGGGGAUCAGCACACACUAGCUGCGGGAGGAAGCCUGGGAUGUUUAUGAGUAGUCACAAGUGGUGUUCCCCAGGGAUCACUACAGGGGCCCGUCCUGUUUAAUAUCUUUAUUGAUGACUUGGAUGAGCAAAUUGACUGCACCCUCAGUACGUUUGCAGGUCAUACCAAGGUGGGAGAAAGUGUUGAUCUGCCUCAGGGUAGGAAAGCCCGACAGAUGGAUCUGGAUAUGUUGGACUGCUGGACUGAGGCCAAUGGGAUGAAAUUCAACAAGAUCAAGUUCUGGCUCCUGCACGUUAGUCACAACAACUUUAGUCUGGGGAAGAGGAGUCUCGGGGGAGACAUUAUUGCUCUCUGCAACUCCCUGAAAGGAGGUUGUGGUGAGGUGGGGAUUGGCCUCUUCUCCCACGUAACAGCAAUAGGAUGAGAGGUGAUGAUCUUAAGUUAUGCUGGGGAGGUUCAGGUUGUAUAUUAGGAUAAAUUUCUUCUCAGAAAGGGUAGUGAGGCAUUGGAACAGGCUACCCAGGGAGGUGGUGGUGAAGUCACUGUCCCUGGAGGUGUUCAAGAAACAUGGAGAUGUGGUACUUAGGGACGUGUUUUAGUGGGCAAUAUUGGUGGUAGGUGGACUGUUGGACCAGAUGAUCUCAGUGUUUUUUUCAAACCUUUCACAGAAUCAUAGAAUCAUAGAAUUACUCAGGUUGGAAAGGACCUCAAAGAUCAUCAAGUCCAACUGCAGCCUAACCAUAGUACCCUAACUCUAACAACCCUCUGCUAAAUCAUGUCCCUGAGCACCACAUCCAAAUGGUUUUUAAACACAUCCAGGGAUGGUGACUCAACCACCUCCCUGGGGAGCCUAUUCCAGUGUUUAAACACCCUUUCUGUAAAGAAGUGUUUCCUAACGUCCAACCUAAACUUACCUUGGCGCAACUUGAGGCCAUUUCCCCUCGUCUUGUCACCUGUCACCAGUGAGAAGAGACCUACCCCGCUCUCACUGUAAGCACCUUCCAAGUACUGGAAGAGAGUUAUAAGGUCUUUAUGGUUCUAUGAAUGACUCUGAGAGCCCUGAGCAGCUCCUCCAACUCCAAGGCAUACAUUUCUAAAACAUCUCUAAAAACCUAUCCUGUAGCAUUUGUGUUAAAACCCUGACUCCAAACCCCUUCCCCAUGCUGCAGGUGCAGGUGCUGCCAGCAGUGACAGGUGGCCAGCUCUGUCAGCACCUCACCCAGUGCCCGGCACCGCUCUGUGCUGGGCGAGGCCUCUUCCUCUCAGGCUCUGACUCAUGCCCACAUGCGUGAGCAGGAUGUGCAUCACAGGCCAGCCCGGUCCCUGCUCGCCCACUGAGACCCAUGAGGACAGCCCUGCCCGUGGUCAGCAGCUGAAGGACUUCAGAUCACAUGCAGCACUGAACUGAAGUGAGAUGUAUUUCCAGCACGUCCUCCUCUAGCAUAGAAGUCCUGGAUCCAAGAUGGCCCAGUGUGGACCAUACUAUCAACACGCUUGCAAGCACAUCCACACAACCAUCCCACAGCACAGGGAGGGGUUCCCUCAUGGUCAGGGGCCCAUCCUGACAUGCUGAGAUCCUCUCCCCAUGGCGCAGUGGCACAGUCCUUGCUUCAUGACGGGGAGAGGCCUCCCAGGGCCAUGGCUGUGGUCAGCACACGGUCACAAGCCGGCUGGGCCGCAUCAUGGUGUGGUGAGGUCCUCCCCUCCGGCCGAGACACACGUCCUGCUUUUCCUCACACGCCUGGAGAAAAAGAAGAAGAGAAGAUUGAGAAAAAUGUUACUAAGUCAGGAAAUCAUUCCGGAGGAGGGGGAGCAGUUCCUCUAACCUCGUGUAUGUGGAAAGAAAGCUAUUUGCUGACUUGGCCUUAUUUUUUAAUUUAUUGUUUUGCCAGCUGCUCAGAUAAAAGGACAAAGCUCUGCCUGCUGUAAUGAGGCAGCCGCUCGAGCAUGCCUGUACAGCACAGAGCAUCUGGCCGGGACACUGGUGACAAACAGAGAACAGUCCAAAGGGUUCACAGGACACAUCCUUUCAAAUCCCUCAACGGCGAGGACUGAGCACUGGCUCUUUCUUCCUCCCAUGGGAACUGGAAAUCUCCUGGAGAUCAUUAACUUUGGCAGACAGGGCUCUCACAUAUUAAGGAUCACAAGACCCGUGAUACAAAAUCCCAUGAGCUCGCUGAUUAAGCCUUUCUGCCAGGCCUCCACCACCCCGGGCUCCACAGCCAUCUCCUAGGGUGACCUCCCAUGGACACAGGGCCAGCUGCUUCUCUGCAGGAGUUCCUGUCAUUUUCUUAUGUUUUGGAGAAUAUCCUCUUUCCAAGAAAAGGCCUGUAGUGGUAUUCCGCUCUGGAGCUCACUGCUGCAGGAUCUUGAGGCCUGAAAGAACAGAGAGUCAAAGACCCUUUCUCAAAGGAAGAUCCUUGGAAAAUGGCUAAACGCCAAGUUGAACAUAAGUGAGCCAUGUUGUCCCUGUGCCACAGCAGGGACAUCGCAGGUGGAGCUUGACAGGCACCUGCCUGCUCCGUGCACCUUUGUAGGCAUCUGCCAGUGCUUCCAGGGGACAAGUGGGCCUGUUGGCCUGACAGACACAGGCAGUUUGUGCACACAUACUGGUGUGGAAAGGAGAGGGUUUACCACCGUGAUGCUUAGGUAACAAUCCACACACAGACCGGGGUGGGCUUCAGCCUUUCACCUGGAGCUUGGGUGCCGUUGUGCCUCUGUUUUGUCACAAAGGCUCAGGGGUGAACAUGACGAGCUUUACUCUGCUGUAUUUACUCACCAGGGGAAGCACUUACUCACAUCAGGCCUCUCACUGCAAAGUCAUUGUGACUGGGCACAAGAGCACUGUGCAGGCUUCUGUCCCAAAUUAUGGCGGUGCUUCUGCCUCACUUUAUUCUAUGAUUCCAUGAUUAUGUCAGUACUUUGCCCCCAGUUGACAGCAUGGCAAAGAAACCUUACAGUAUAUAAACCUCUGUAAGACUACAACUCCGACAAGUUGAGACUGGAUGGGGAUAUCAUCACAAGGCCCAACAAUAGCUUUACACUCAAUUACAUUUAUGGUUUCUGUGAUUCAUCUAAAUGUUUGUGGCUUUGUCACUACCUGGAAGUUAAGAAAAGAAAAAGAAAAAGGAAAAGAAAGCCCCGGAAUGAACAGUUUUCUGCUGCAAGACACUGGGUGACACAACAGAAACUGAGCAACUACCUUUAGUGGUAGGGAAGAGUAAUUUUCUGUGCUGACCAGAGCUAUAUUUGAUUUCUUAGGCAAUGUCAGCUUUUGCAUGCUACAUUCUCUGGCUAAUAGCCAGGGCGAUGUGUAAUACUUUAGCCACACUGUUGUUACUUAAUGCUUUCCUAAUCUGCAAUUUGCGCAAGAGGAGUAAAAUCUAAGCAAAGCCACUGAGAACAUCUCCACUAAUAAUUUAUCAAACGCGACUUUUGUUGUUGGCAGGAGGCAGCAGUGGCUGGAGGUGAAUGUUUUCCCACCACAGCGCCGUGAGAUAAACAAGGGGCAGCUGAUUCACGCCGCACUUAUUUUCUGCCAUCCACCCUUCGUGUCACCCUGAUAUUUCUUCAAACGAUAAGCCUGCGUGAGCGCUCACGCUGCGCCGCCGAGCAAAUGGAUGAGCAGCAAAGGCUCCCAGCACCUUCCGGAGAGGCCAGCAACUUCUUUCAACUUCAGUACAAAAUGGUGAGCGGCUCUAAGAAAUAAACAAGAGAUUCCUGCAGCCCUCGUCCAAAGGGACCAUUUAAAAAUAGACAAAUUAUGACUCGAGAUGAAAUGUAUGCAUUGCAUAAAUCAAAGUUCUCACACCCACCAUCAGAGUUUAAUCACUUUAUAUGCUGGUCUUUCAACAUGCUCUGAAACUUUGUAUACAAUAAUACAAACGACGAGGUUACGAAGCAAUAGCAAUUUAUUCUGCUGUACAAACGGAUGUUGCAUUAUAAUCCCUAAAGCAACACAGAGG
ensembl:lncRNA